CCAAGAAAUUAGAGCAAGAAACCUACUGGGUCGCUCCAAUCUUUAUAUCCGUCCAAAGAUUACAGAAGCCAAUGACGACUCAACUGGUGGAGAAGUGGUGCAGUCUGAAAUGGCAAUUGUGCUGCAUGACACAGAGACACCUGACCAUGGCAGGCACAAUGUACAGGAGCCAGAGGUUAUCAGUGGUCUGCAUGAAAACCAUACAGCUAAUUCUAGUAGGCCUGGUCUCCAGGAACCAGAGGUUAACAGGCAAGUGGUAGUUGAUGAAUAACGUGCCAAAACUGAAGUGUAAACUGUAACUUAUUGUCUAUUUACCUAUGGUGUGUGUUUUAUAAGUACAA